GUUGUCAUGGCCGAGUGGUUAAGGCAAUUGGACUAGAAAUCCAUUGCUGUUUCCCUGUGCAGGUUCAAAUCCUGCUGAUAACG